GAUGAACGCUGGCGGCGUGCCUAAUACAUGCAAGUCGAGCGAACAGACGAGGAGCUUGCUCCUCUGACGUUAGCGGCGGACGUGUGAGUAACACGUGGAUAACCUACCUAUAAGACUGGGAUAACUUCGGGAAACCGGAGCUCAUACCGGAUAAUAUAUUGAACCGCAUGGUUCAAUAGUGAAAGACGGUUUUGCUGUCACUUAUAGAUGGAUCCGCGCCGCAUUAGCUAGUUGGUAAGGUAACGGCUUACCAAGGCAACGAUGCGUAGCCGACCUGAGAGGGUGAUCGGCCACACUGGAACUGAGACACGGUCCAGACUCCUACGGGAGGCAGCAGUAGGGAAUCUUCCGCAAUGGGCGAAAGCUUGACGGAGCAACGCCGCGUGAGUGAUGAAGGUCUUCGGAUCGUAAAACUCUGUUAUUAGGGAAGAACAAAUGUGUAAGUAACUAUGCACGUCUUGACGGUACCUAAUCAGAAAGCCACGGCUAACUACGUG
rnacentral:rRNA from 1 species